ACGGAGGGGGCUAGCGUUGUUCGGAAUUACUGGGCGUAAAGCGCACGUAGGCGGCUUUGCAAGUUAGAGGUGAAAGCCCGGGGCUCAACUCCGGAAUUGCCUUUAAAACUGCAUCGCUAGAAUCGUGGAGAGGUGAGUGGAACUGCGAGUGUAGAGGUGAAAUUCGUAGAUAUUCGCAAGAACACCAGUGGCGAAGGCGGCUCACUGGCCCGAUACUGACGCUGAGGCACGAAAGCGUGGGGAGCAAACAGGA
rnacentral:rRNA from 1 species